CAUGGAUUAAAUGGGAAAAGGAGAUGAAUGUUGAACUGCAAUAUAAAGAAUGGUUGAAGGGUUUGAUCAUUGUUAGGAGGAAUGUUUACAGCAUGACUCUAAUAGAAACUCAGUACAAAAUAACUUUACGCUGGUACUUAGUCCCAGUUAGACUGCACAAACUCCAAUACUUCACAAAUGUGUUGGAGAUGCGAAUCAAACGUGGGUUCCUUCUUACAUAUCUGGUGGGGAUGUCCUGAAUUAAAAAAAAAAACUGUAAAGCCCUUACAGAAGUUUCUUAAGUCUCUACUGGAAUUUACUUUGUUCUAACUCCUCAGAUCUUUCUUUUUAAUAUGUUGUUACCUGGAAAUCAUCCUUAGAAUUGUCUAAUUGUUCACAUAAUGUUAACAGUUAAAAUUAGUAUUGCAUGAAAAUGGAAAUCUAAGGGUGAUUUAGGUUGGACAGAAAUAUUGCAACAAAUAGAUUACCAACAUAGAAUGGAGGCCUCUUUUCAUUUAGACCAAUCUCAAUACAUCAAAUAUCUGAAGCUUUAUGCUCCCUGGAAACAAUUCAAGGAGAACAAUUCGAGCUUAU